rnacentral:rRNA from 1 species
UACGUAGGGUGCGAGCGUUAAUCGGAAUUACUGGGCGUAAAGCGUGCGCAGGCGGUUCUCCAAGUCCGUUGUGAAAGCCCCGGGCUCAACCUGGGAAUGGCAGUGGAAACUAGGGGACUUGAAUCUGGAAGAGGCGAGUGGAAUUCCCGGUGUAGCGGUGAAAUGCGCAGAUAUCGGGAGGAACACCAAUGGCGAAGGCAGCUCGCUGGGACGGUACUGACGCUGAGACGCGAAAGCGGGGGGAGCAAACAGG